GAUUCUGGCUCAGGAUGAACGCUGGCGGCGUGCCUAACACAUGCAAGUCGAACGGAGUAAUUAAGCGGAAGUUUCGGAUGGAAGCAUAGUUACUUAGUGGCGGACGGGUGAGUAACGCGUGGGCAACCUGCCCUGUACCGGGGGAUAACACUUAGAAAUAGGUGCUAAUACCGCAUAAGCGCACAGCUUCGCAUGAAGGUGUGUAGAAAAACUCCGGUGGUACAGGAUGGACCCGCGUCUGAUUAGCUAGUUGGUGGGUAGAGGCCUACCAAGGCGACGAUCAGUAGCCGGCCUGAGAGGGUGACCGGCCACAGUUGGGACUGAGACACCGGACCCAAACUCCGUACGGGAGGCAGCAGGUGGGGAAUAUUGCAACAAGUACGGGGGAAACCCUGAUGCCAGCGACGCCGCGUGAGUGAAGAAGUAUUUCGGUAUGUAAAGCUCUAUCAGCAGGGAAGAAAAUGACGGUACCUGACUAAGAAGCCCCGGCUAACUACGUGCCAGCCGCCGC
rnacentral:rRNA from 1 species